CUGUGCUUGUGUGUACAGAUGCAUAUAGGCCAAAAGAAGGACCCACAUGGCUUCAUUCAUAACCUUACAACUUUUUUUUAUAGAUCUUUAUACCCAGGAAUUUGUCUGUUCCUUCUAAAUCAUCUAGAAUUUCUCAAAGGAAAAGAUAAUUCAUUGUCCUGUUGCCUAAAAGCAGUUGCUGCAGAUGUUUGGAGAGAAGGUGUAUAUAAACACCCUGAAGAGAUAAUGUCUCUCACCAGCAUGGAACUCACCAAGCAGGCUAGGCAGGCGAGGCUGCUCAGCGAACCCUAGAGAUUUGUCUGUCUCCAUGUUUCCAACCCUGGCAUUACCAGCUUGCUGCAACACACCUGGCAUCUGGGGAGAGAACUCAGGUCUCUAUGCUUGAGAGGCAAGUAUUUUACUAACUGAUCCAUCUCCAUAGUUGUUCUUUAUAUUUUUAACCUAAAAAGAAAAGAAAAAGAAAAAGAAACGUGUAGCUUCCUUUCAAAGGAUGAGGCUCUACAGAUUGUUAAAUUGCUUCAGGAGACCAGCUUGGUUAGAGGAGAGCCUUAAAAACUUACACGUGAAAAGAUUUAAAGCAUGAGGAAAAUCACACCUGGGCUGAUUCUAAAAUUCCCCCAAAAUGGGAUUUUUUGUUUUGUUUUAUGGGUUUUUUUUAAAUAAAAGGGCUUUUCUUCUUCUUUUGGUACUUGGUUGAAUUUCAGAACUUUAGGAAAUUCUUUGGGUCAUCUGGUUGACCUUUAAGCACUUUCUACUUGCCAAACUCCUAAUUUCUCUGAUAUAGAAUACAUUGGAUUUUUAAGUAGGGGCUUUCCAAUUUACCCUUAAGUUAUCCCCAUCUCUUUAUCUGGUGACUUCCAUUUUAAGAUUUCAAUUUUAGUGAGACAAUUUCAAAGACCGUUAUUCUAUGACAUUAACAUAUGAACUAAUAUUACUUUUAUUUAAUAAUUUGAUGUGGAGAAAAUAAAAUAUAAAGAUGGAAUGCCUAAUGAAACCAGGGUUUCCAGAAGGAAGAGCCAACAGCAGCAGUAAAUUAUAGUUAUUUUUUGACCAAGAAUUUAAACCUUGUUAUUAAAAUAUUAUUUCUUAUGAAAUAUUUAGUGAUUGAUUAUUUUACAGAUUUCAGGACAUAUCAUUUAGUAAACCACUUAGGAAAAAGAAUUCAUGUCUAGAUGUUUAGCAUAGACAUUUCAACAAUGAAAACUGUUUUUACACCUCAUAGAAGGGCUUAAAACUUACAUAAGAAAUGGUGUGGUGUCAGAGGCAGUUAUAUGAACAGGACAUCUCUACCAUCCCUAGGUUUGGGACAAUAGAAUUUGGUGUUGUCAGAAUUCAGAAGCUGGGUUGCCUGGUGAGAGUUGGGACUACAGCAGGAAGGGCAUAGUUGGUGGGAUCUAGUUUCUUUGGAGUUACUAAUUCCUCGGUAAACUCCAAAAGUGUCUCGGGAAUGUGUCCUAACUGUGAUUCUAAGAGAGGAAAGGGAGUGAAUUUAUCUGAAAACCUUCCAGUAAAUGACUGGAUUAAUGAGAACCAGUAGUGAUGUCAACUGACUCAGUGAUAUAUGAGUUCUCAGAGUCAGAGAUGAGACAGCUGGCCUAUUGUCAGUGUGCAGCUGGAUAGCUGCUCUAGAAGAGUGGCUGAUUGCAUGAUUACACUUUCCUCCUGGCUUAUUUCCUGAAGGUGCACUGUAUCCAUCCAUAAUGGGCAUGAAGACAUCCAGUGUCUAUAGUCAAGGUGUGAAACUCAACAACGUGGGACCACAAGCAUCAGGCUCAAUGUAGUGACGCUCUCUUUUUCCUGAAAAAGAGGCUAUUCCUGUCAGUAGCUUCUGAGUCAUGUCCAGGGAAGCACAGCCUCUCUCCAUGGAUUCCUACAGCCAGGUUUUCCUAUGACUCCUUGAAAAUGGCAGUGCAGCCUGAAUCUGCUUUAAUACUGGUUUCUUCCCAAGCUGAGUGAAUCUGACCCCUUUCUAACUUGGAACAAAUCACACAUACAAAAUGAAGAUGAAAUGCCUCCAUCCAGCUACAACAGGAUUGAUUUUUGGCUCCCUGGUAUUUGGAAUUCACACACUGAAACAGCAAAACUCCAUGACACGUGAUCCAUCAGACAGCAAGGCCCAAGGAUGCAGGGUGGUUUUUCUUCCAUGUUGCUUGCUGCUUUGUCAAAAGUUCUUAAAACAAGGCCUGUGCUUAGCAGGUAUUUAUCAGAAGAUUUCUUAUGAUAAGAUAAAUUCAAACGGGAAUGUCAUUUACAGAUGAUGUAAAGAAAUGCUAGCCAGAGGAAGAAGUGACAG
rnacentral:sRNA from 1 species